UAGUGUACAGAAGUACCUCAAACUGCAUAUAAAUGAAAGACGCCCCAUUAAUGGGAGAUCCCUUUGUUUGAACAAGUUUCUUGCACACAUGAAAACUGAAAGUGCUCCCAUCCGUCCCUGUGGCUGUAGCUGUGUGCUGCUCCGGGGGCUGUACGUGAGCUCAGAGCAGGAGUUCUCCUCAUGGUUCCUGUAUGUGGUCAAAAGAAAACAAGCAGAAUUAGUGCAAACCAAGAGAAAGGAGGAGAUUGCAUAAAUCUUGGUAGACAAGUUGGCUGCAAGCAGUUAAACCGAAAUUAACUUCUGCCUUCUGGCCGCAGAGUGCGAGUUUGACAUUCGUGUGUGAUAUUCUGCAGACUAAAUCAUGCCAGCGUUAUCAACUGGAUCUGGAAGUGACACAGUUUUGAAACAGAUCUCAGGAGCUGUACAAGCAAGAACUUGGUAUUACUCUGUACGAAUGCAAGAAGGGAUCAACUGUUUAACUCGAAUCAGAAUGCACCGGUAUGUGGUAUGCUAAAUCUGAAAUACACAUGUUGAGACAAAUCCUAAAAGACCAAUAACUGUUUCAAACAACUGCGGAUUCUUUAGCUCCCGUAGCCAAGUUCCAAAACUAAAGACUUUUCCAUUUUGAAGGGAAUAAUAUUUUUAGAAGUGGUGGGCUUAAAUGCUUGCUUGCUUUCAACAUUGUCUGUCAUAAUGUUGUUUUAAGGUGGGUUAACAAAUUACUGCAGUUUGGAGGAAUAAAAAUUGGGUACAAUUUUAAAAUUAAAAUACUGUACUGCCCUCACUGAAUAUGUAAUCUUGUUCUUUGAGGGUAUGCAUGACAAAGUUCUUGUUUUCAUUAGGAAAAAAAUAGAACAUUGAUAUUUUAAUUAAUCCCACCUGUAAGGGUUUGAGCAUUUUGCUUCUUUAUGAAUUAGCAAAUAGAACAAGACAGACUUUUUUCCACAGACGCUGAUGACCUGUACGUUGUGGCUAUCUGGCUACUCUGUCUUC